rnacentral:rRNA from 1 species
GGUUAAGCGACUAAGCGUACACGGUGGAUGCCCUGGCAGUCAGAGGCGAUGAAGGACGUGCUAAUCUGCGAUAAGCGUCGGUAAGGUGAUAUGAACCGUUAUAACCGGCGAUUUCCGAAUGGGGAAACCCAGUGUGUUUCGACACACUAUCAUUAACUGAAUCCAUAGGUUAAUGAGGCGAACCGGGGGAACUGAAACAUCUAAGUACCCCGAGGAAAAGAAAUCAACCGAGAUUCCCCCAGUAGCGGCGAGCGAACGGGGAGCAGCCCAGAGCCUGAAUCAGUGUGUGUGUUAGUGGAAGCGUCUGGAAAGGCGCGCGAUACAGGGUGACAGCCCCGUACACAAAAAUGCACAUGCUGUGAGCUCGAUGAGUAGGGCGGGACACGUGGUAUCCUGUCUGAAUAUGGGGGGACCAUCCUCCAAGGCUAAAUACUCCUGACUGACCGAUAGUGAACCAGUACCGUGAGGGAAAGGCGAAAAGAACCCCGGCGAGGGGAGUGAAAAAGAACCUGAAACCGUGUACGUACAAGCAGUGGGAGCACGCUUCGGCGUGUGACUGCGUACCUUUUGUAUAAUGGGUCAGCGACUUAUAUUCUGUAGCAAGGUUAACCGAAUAGGGGAGCCGAAGGGAAACCGAGUCUUAACUGGGCGUUAAGUUGCAGGGUAUAGACCCGAAACCCGGUGAUCUAGCCAUGGGCAGGUUGAAGGUUGGGUAACACUAACUGGAGGACCGAACCGACUAAUGUUGAAAAAUUAGCGGAUGACUUGUGGCUGGGGGUGAAAGGCCAAUCAAACCGGGAGAUAGCUGGUUCUCCCCGAAAGCUAUUUAGGUAGCGCCUCGUGAAUUCAUCUCCGGGGGUAGAGCACUGUUUCGGCAAGGGGGUCAUCCCGACUUACCAACCCGAUGCAAACUGCGAAUACCGGAGAAUGUUAUCACGGGAGACACACGGCGGGUGCUAACGUCCGUCGUGAAGAGGGAAACAACCCAGACCGCCAGCUAAGGUCCCAAAGUCAUGGUUAAGUGGGAAACGAUGUGGGAAGGCCCAGACAGCCAGGAUGUUGGCUUAGAAGCAGCCAUCAUUUAAAGAAAGCGUAAUAGCUCACUGGUCGAGUCGGCCUGCGCGGAAGAUGUAACGGGGCUAAACCAUGCACCGAAGCUGCGGCAGCGACGCUGAUGCGUUGUUGGGUAGGGGAGCGUUCUGUAAGCCUGCGAAGGUGUGCUGUGAGGCAUGCUGGAGGUAUCAGAAGUGCGAAUGCUGACAUAAGUAACGAUAAAGCGGGUGAAAAGCCCGCUCGCCGGAAGACCAAGGGUUCCUGUCCAACGUUAAUCGGGGCAGGGUGAGUCGACCCCUAAGGCGAGGCCGAAAGGCGUAGUCGAUGGGAAACAGGUUAAUAUUCCUGUACUUGGUGUUACUGCGAAGGGGGGACGGAGAAGGCUAUGUUGGCCGGGCGACGGUUGUCCCGGUUUAAGCGUGUAGGCUGGUUUUCCAGGCAAAUCCGGAAAAUCAAGGCUGAGGCGUGAUGACGAGGCACUACGGUGCUGAAGCAACAAAUGCCCUGCUUCCAGGAAAAGCCUCUAAGCAUCAGGUAACAUCAAAUCGUACCCCAAACCGACACAGGUGGUCAGGUAGAGAAUACCAAGGCGCUUGAGAGAACUCGGGUGAAGGAACUAGGCAAAAUGGUGCCGUAACUUCGGGAGAAGGCACGCUGAUAUGUAGGUGAAGUCCCUUGCGGAUGGAGCUGAAAUCAGUCGAAGAUACCAGCUGGCUGCAACUGUUUAUUAAAAACACAGCACUGUGCAAACACGAAAGUGGACGUAUACGGUGUGACGCCUGCCCGGUGCCGGAAGGUUAAUUGAUGGGGUCAGCGCAAGCGAAGCUCUUGAUCGAAGCCCCGGUAAACGGCGGCCGUAACUAUAACGGUCCUAAGGUAGCGAAAUUCCUUGUCGGGUAAGUUCCGACCUGCACGAAUGGCGUAAUGAUGGCCAGGCUGUCUCCACCCGAGACUCAGUGAAAUUGAACUCGCUGUGAAGAUGCAGUGUACCCGCGGCAAGACGGAAAGACCCCGUGAACCUUUACUAUAGCUUGACACUGAACAUUGAGCCUUGAUGUGUAGGAUAGGUGGGAGGCUUGGAAGUGUGGACGCCAGUCUGCAUGGAGCCGACCUUGAAAUACCACCCUUUAAUGUUUGAUGUUCUAACGUUGACCCGUAAUCCGGGUUGCGGACAGUGUCUGGUGGGUAGUUUGACUGGGGCGGUCUCCUCCUAAAGAGUAACGGAGGAGCACGAAGGUUGGCUAAUCCUGGUCGGACAUCAGGAGGUUAGUGCAAUGGCAUAAGCCAGCUUGACUGCGAGCGUGACGGCGCGAGCAGGUGCGAAAGCAGGUCAUAGUGAUCCGGUGGUUCUGAAUGGAAGGGCCAUCGCUCAACGGAUAAAAGGUACUCCGGGGAUAACAGGCUGAUACCGCCCAAGAGUUCAUAUCGACGGCGGUGUUUGGCACCUCGAUGUCGGCUCAUCACAUCCUGGGGCUGAAGUAGGUCCCAAGGGUAUGGCUGUUCGCCAUUUAAAGUGGUACGCGAGCUGGGUUUAGAACGUCGUGAGACAGUUCGGUCCCUAUCUGCCGUGGGCGCUGGAGAACUGAGGGGGGCUGCUCCUAGUACGAGAGGACCGGAGUGGACGCAUCACUGGUGUUCGGGUUGUCAUGCCAAUGGCACUGCCCGGUAGCUAAAUGCGGAAGAGAUAAGUGCUGAAAGCAUCUAAGCACGAAACUUGCC